rnacentral:misc_RNA from 1 species
GAUGAAGAACGUAGCGAAAUGCGAUACGUAAUGUGAAUUGCAGAAUUCAGUGAAUCAUCGAGUCUUUGAACGCACAUUGCGCCCCCUGGUAUUCCGGAGGGCAUGCCUGUCCGAGCGUCAUUGCUGCCCUCAAGCACGGCUUGUGUGUUGGGCCUCCGCCCCCCGGCUCCCGGGGGGCGGGCCCGAAAGGCAGCGGCGGCACCGCGUCCGGUCCUCGAGCGUAUGGGGCUUCGUCACCCGCUCCGUAGGCCCGGCCGGCGCCCGCCGGCGACCCCCCUCAAUCUUUCCAGGUUGACCUCGGAUCAGGUAGGGAUACCCGCUGAACUUAAGCAUAUCAAUAAGCGGAGGA